CCAAUAGCGUAUAUUAAAGUUGUUGCAGUUAAAAAGCUCGUAGUUGAACUUCGGGGUUCACCCAUUGGUUAGGCUUAACUGUCUGCACUGGUGAGAUGAAUCUCUACCUUCUGAGGAACUUUCAUGCCAUUCAUUUGGUGUGAUGGGAAAUCAGGACUGUUACUUUGAAAAAAUUAGAGUGUUUAAAGCAGGCUAACGUCUGAAUACAUUAGCAUGGAAUAAUGAAAUAGGACGGACUGGUUCUAUUUUGUUGGUUUCUAGGAUCACCGUAAUGAUUAAUAGGGAUAGUUGGGGGCAUUAGUAUUCAAUUGUCAGAGGUGAAAUUCUUGGAUUUAUUGAAGACUAACUACUGCGAAAGCAUUUGCCAAGGAUGUUUUCAUUAAUCAAGAACGAAAGUUAGGGGAUCGAAGACGAUCAGAUACCGUCGUAGUCUUAACCAUAAACUAUGCCGACUAGGGAUCGGACGAAGUUAAUUUUAUAAUGACGCGUUCGGCACCUUACG
rnacentral:rRNA from 1 species